UUACUUCCAUUGCUGACCUGCGCGCCGGUCACCGAAGGGUUGGGCUCCCGGGCUGUGCCCAGGAGCUGUCCGUGGCCCUGGGCAUUCAGAAGAUGCCUGCGGAAGGGCGGUCUGCUCCCUCCAACACAACCUAACAUGGAGUUCCUGGAACCGGCUUGGAGCCGCCUGGAUGGCGGUCUGAAAACUGACCACUCCGAGAGCAUCUCUGGUCACUUCCUGGGCAAGGAAGAAAACCGCUUGCUCUCCUGGGACUCUGGGUUAAGUAGCAACGGAUUCUUUUGGGUUGAAACUCUUUCUGGAGGUCGCCUACUUGGGCAAAGGCUCUGCGCCUUCAAGUCAAGAACGUGGAAGGGGUGGCACAGUGGUUGUGGGACUGAGAGGUGCUGAUGCCUAGGUGACAGGUGGCAGAGCCCACCUCUGCAGGUUAACCUGACUCCCUGGAAAUUAGCUUUCUGUGGUGUGAUCUUCUGUGAGUUUUCUCUCUUGGUCAUAAUGUUAUACUAACGGGGGUGGGGAGGAAUCCUGCCCAAGAUUGCGAGGGAGCAAAUGGGGGGAGACGACGAGUUCUGAAGAUUUGGGAUAGCAGUGAAAACUUCUUUUCCAGUCUUUUGGGAGUCUAUGAUGCAGUGGCUUCCGGAUGGCAGAGAGUGCCAAAGCUGGGAACUGGAAAGGAAGGGGUGAGAGCGCGGCUCUCUGCUGCACCUUGGCGCCAUUCGAAGCAACUCAAAGUAGGGAAAACUCAGAGGGGUGGAUAGAAGGUCAAGUGGUACUAGCGAUGCUCUCUAGUAAGUUAUUCUUCUCCGACGUUGGAGAUAAUUAGAAGGCCCAAGUCACAAGCCACCGCCCAUCCCGGAGACUCAGAUUCGAGAGGCUCAGACCAGCCAACCCUACCCCAAGUCGGGCCUGACUUGGCACGCCCUCUUGGAGAACUCAUUCGUCUCCUGGCAACGCCGACGACGCAGGCCCAGAACAGCUGCACUUGGGAAGGAGGAAAACUCUUUAAACAAAUCAUUUUGGUGUCUAAUCAAUUAGUGUUUGCGCAGUCAAGUACCAUAGAUUUAACAGAAUAAUCGUUACUGCCCUUGUCUUUAUUUGACCCGCAGACACCUAGAAGAUUUAAAAAUAAAAUGCAAGGUGUUCUGAGCA
rnacentral:sRNA from 1 species